UAAGAGGAACGAAACAGAGUAAGUGGUAAACAAUAUUAUGAUAGUAUAAUACACUGCACACCAAACAAAAUAAACUAUAAGUGAGCUAAAAAUGUGAGAUAAAGACGAAAGUUUCCAUUUUAAGCUCUGUUCGUUAUCUGGAAAUGGAGAGGUUGGAAUAAUAUUUUUGGAAAUGAUAAGAAUAAUCAGCAUUUAGCUAGGCUAGCUUAUAGCUUUCUGAUGGAGGACUAUCCACAAGAGCUUCAGCUGGGCUAAUGAGUUUCGGACCAAAGCAAUUCCCAUUUCUUCCGAUUUUCUUCCCCAAAUCUCCGAUCAUCAUGACAACAGACACUGCCGAUUUCAACAGUUUCUUGAAAAUCGCAGCUUUAACUGCUCCUCGUCUCGGCGGGAGUCUUAUUUUCCGUCCGUUCAUCUCAUUCUUCGUCUCCGGGAUCUCCAUUCGUGACGAUUUUUGGUGAAUUAAGGAUGUUUGGGAGUGAAAAUCGCAGUGCAAAAAACAGAGGUUAGAGCUUGGUUGGAGCAGGGGAAUGAAUAGGGUGGUUAAGUAGUUUGAAGAAGUAAUCGGAAAAACUUUUCAAGGCUUUGUGAAGGUUGAAGAAAGUACAUAUAAGGGCGAGGUAAAGAUAGAUGAGUGGAUUUUAUAGUAAUGUUUGAGGGGGAAACUGGAUAUUAUAGUAAUGUUUGGGUGCGGCGUGGGAGACGAGGGGGGUGCGAGGGGAGGAUCCAGGGGCAGGCACACGUAGGUUCAAG
rnacentral:lncRNA from 1 species